rnacentral:rRNA from 1 species
UACAGAGGGUGCGAGCGUUAAUCGGAAUUACUGGGCGUAAAGGGCGCGUAGGCGGCCUGCUAAGUCACACGUGAAAUCCCUCGGCUCAACCGGGGAACUGCGUGUGAUACUGGCGGGCUUGAAUUCGGGAGAGGGAUGUGGAAUUCCAGGUGUAGCGGUGAAAUGCGUAGAUAUCUGGAGGAACACCGGUGGCGAAGGCGGCAUCCUGGACCGAGAUUGACGCUGAGGCGCGAAAGCUAGGGGAGCAAACGGG